AAAGCAAUAUUUCCAGGAAUCAUUUCUAGAAUAUUAUGUUACUCUAGUAUCGAACAUCCCAAUUGUUAACAGGGUGUGUAGUUUUUUUUCAGAGUGUGAAAUUGGACCUUGGAGUUGUGUGACUGUACCUGCUUCUAGCUUUGAUCAUUGAUGAUAGUUUUUGUUGCUUUUUUGGAACUAGCAAGAGAGUAGCAUGGUGUGA
rnacentral:snoRNA from 1 species